ACUCUUCCUAACACUACCAACCUAUCUUGGGGAGUGCGGGAGGGUGGGGAACAUUAAAUCCUGGGCUCGGCCUCAGGCCGACAGAGCCGAAAGUGGCCUCGGGAACCUAUGCCUGUUAAAAAAAGAACUACAAGUCCCAGCAGGCUGAGCGGCUACGGCUCUCUGGACCUGCUCGGGAUUGGAGCGUAAUGCAACGUUCUAGGAAAGAGAGUAUUUCUUCUGGGUGUGGCCAACCCGGAUUUGUAGUUCCCAGGCCGGUGUUCCCGUAUGGUCUCACUCUGUCAUGCAUGAUGGACUGCAGUGGUGCAAUCAUGGCUCACUGUAGCUUCGACCACCCUGGCUCCGGUCAUCAUCCUACCUCAGCCUCCCAGGUAUGUGGGAUUACAGGUAUGUGCUAACAUGCUCAGCUAAUUUUUAAUUUUUUGUGGAAACAGGAUUUUGCCAUGUUGCUCAAGAUGAUCUCAAACUCCUGGCCUCAGGCAAUCCUUCUGCCUCAGCCUCCCAUCCUUCCCCCACAUACUGAGGCAAAGAUACAGGUGUGAACCACUGAAACUAUCAAAAGGGAAAAUUACAACACCUUUACUUAUACAGAUAAUUGGCUUUUAUUUGCAAGUCAUGAAGGAGCAUCCUCCAUUCUACAAAAUGGAGUGAUAGAUCCCACUGGCAAGUAGUAGAACGGUGGAUUUUGUAUGGUGAGAGCAAAGAUAUGAAACAACAGAAAAAUGACUAGUUGACAUGAGGUUACUUUUUUGAAAGGGAUAAAGCAGAGUAUGGUUCGUUAUUGCACUGAAUUGGGUAGACUGUAAUCUCUUGUUUUCAGAAAAAAAAGAUGGCUUUCAGGAUCUAUCUCUUUCCCUCAUAUUUCAGAUUAAUUUACCUGAUAUUAUGUGAAACUUAGCAUGAGUGACUCCAUUUUAGUUUGACCUGGUCUGUUGCUGCCUAAUUUUGGAGCUCAAUACAAAACCAUGGCCCCAUCAUUUUUGUUUGGCAGCACUGAAAACUAAAAUACACAAUUUUCACUGAUUCUCUGAGUCUUUAUUUCUUAAGGCUCUUAUGUCACCUGAAACUUCGUUGAAUAAAUUUGUUAUGUUUUUCCCUUGUUAAUUUGUUUUUAUUCAUAGUGGUGUCAGUCAUCAACCUUGUGAUCACUGAGGAAAAGAUACAAUAAUCCUUGCCUAUCCGUGAGUUCUGUCUAUAUGUAUUCAACCAAGUUUAGAUUGAAAAUAUUUUGGGGAAAAAUGGAAGGGUGCACCUGUACUGAACAUGUUCCAACAUUUUCUUGUCAUUGUUACUUAAAUAAUACAGUAUAACAACUAUUUACAUAGCAUUUACACUGCUUUAGUAAUUAUAAAUAAUCUAGGGAUGAUUUAUUUAGAUAGUCUAGGAAUGAUUUAAAUAAUCGAGGAUGGUGAUAUAUGGGAGGAUGUACAUAGGUUAUACAUAAAUACUACACCAUUUUAUAUCAGGGUCUCAAACAUUCAUGUACUUUGGUAUCCAACAGGGAUUCUGGAAUCAAUCCUCCACAGAUAGCAAGGGAUAACUGUAUUAGUUUUUCUUUUCUACACUGUUUAAUGGAUGCUGCACCCUUCCUACUCUAGGACCCAACCAGGAUCCUGAGCCCUCACUUUCUCCCUGCGUUCCUCAUGAUCCAUUUGACUAUAAUGCAGAAAGUUUGUUUAGCUACUGGCUGGUAUCUGUAACUCCUAUGACAGCUCACACUCCUUGAAGAAGAAGAGAGAAAACAGAAGACUUGUCCUGUGGAUAGAUUAUUUCUUCUUCUGUUUGUUUGUUCUUUGUAUGCUCUCGACAACAUCCACAUACACAAAUGCACAUACAUAAACACAGAAACUUUUUCUUAACAUGGACAAUCUGAAAGAGAAAGCAGCACAACAACCAUUUUGGAUGAUCGAGACUAUUUUUAUAUUAUUACAGUACAAUUGCAGAAUGAAUUCAAAAGGGCAAGCCCCUAGCAAUGAUAAUGCUAAAUGGCUGGUGGAUGUAAAUAAUUAGUGGUCAAUAUAUUAUCCAUGAUAUGUGGCAAGUUUGAAAGUUGGAAAUGCAGAAUCCCUGUUCUGGUCAUAUUAUUGUACUUGGAUCUGCUGGGAACCAUUUGAUACUCUGGGAUUCUCAUUGAGAAUCCAGUGAUAGCUAAUGUUGAAUAUUGCUUGCUGCUGGGCAACAGUGACUGUCAAAACAUUCCGUCACCACUUUUUUUUUUCAGUUUAGAAAAAGGGUCUUGGAUGUUGCCUAGGCUGGCCGGAAACUCCUGAAGUCAAGUGAUUCUCCUGUCUUUGCCUUUAGUUCUGGAAGUACUGGGAGUGAACCUCUGCACCAGGAUUUCCCUCACCAUUUUCUGUAAAAUGGCUUACUACAAAGAACAUUUCUGUAGUAUAUUUUUAUGUAUGUAUGUAUUAUGUAUUUAUUUAUUUAUUUAUUUUUGAGACAGAGUCACAAUGCUGCCCAGGCCCUAGUGCAGUGGUGUGAUCUUAGCUUACUGCAACAUCUGCUUCUGUGUUCAAGAGAUUCUCCUGCCUUAGCCUGUGGAGUAGCUGGAAUUACAGGUGCACACCACCAAGCCCGGCUAAUUUUUAUCUUCUUUGGUAGAGACCGUGUACACACACACACACACACACACACACACACACACAUUUAGGUAGAUACGAGGUCUCGCUCACAGCAGCUUCAGCAAACACAGAUUUCUGGUGUUGGAGGACAGAUUUAACUACAGAAAAUUCUGUUGGGCAAUCGGAAGCCUCAAUCUAUACAGACUUUUAGGAGGAGCCUGCCUGUUUGGUUCAAAUUUAGCCAAAAUAUUUUUUUUUUACCACUGAUUCAGUAAAUCUCCUAACUUUGCAGGAACUGGGAUCCUAAAAAUUAUGGAACGAAUUGUAGAAACUCAAGCAACUUUCUCCAAAGCCUAGGGUUCAGCAAGAGUAAGCAAGAGGCACUGAGCCGCUGGAGUCUGCACAUUGAUAAAUUUACUUACAGUCGUAAAUAAAUUGCAUCAUCUUCAGCUAGUAACACAGAGUCUAAUUUUUAUAGCGGCAUACUUGCCUCCACGACUUUCCUAGACACCAGAAAGAAAGGCGAGAGCCAGCCUUAGCCUAAUCAAGAACCAUGAUCCAAAAAGGAGUGGGAGGAACCUAGCGGCCACGUGGGAAUCCCAGCCCUCCUAUUAAGCCUACCCUCUUUGCAAAUUGUGACUGUGAGCUCCUGGUUUACAGAAAUAUAUCCCAGAACUCAAGCAACAUGAGCCACUAUAAUUGUCUCUGGAAGGUGACCCAUUUGCAGAUAGGGACUUCCCUGAAGGUUGGGGCCCUCAUGAGCUAUGCUUUCCACCAAGUUGUCUCUAUAAGGACCAGUUCCAGGACCUCAGGGAGGAAAUUUCACUUUCUGCCUUGGUGGAAUGUGAAGUGAGUGGCUCCCCGGCCACACCCCACCCUCCAUAAAAUAGAAGGUAAAUCCCAACUGCCAAAAGCUUUUUGUCCUCCUCUCAGGGAUACUAAUUAAAGCAGUUGGGCUACUUUUUCAUGCAUUUCAUCUCAAGUUGUCUUUCUGCCUAUCUCCUGAGCCCAGCGAAAGAGUUCCUUAAAAUAACCCUCAAACCUCUGUAGUAAAGGACCACACAAAUAACGAAUGCCAUGAAAAAACAGGGCUAGAGGUUUCAGAGGAUGAGAAAGGAAGAGCAGCCAGAACACUGGCUGUCUAGGUAUGCUACUGGUGCCUGACUCUGCACCUGUGUGUGUCUGUGUGCUGUGUUCCAAUGGCAGAGCAUCGGGGCCACCAGAACUCUCUCAGCUACCGCACAUGGAGAGGGAGGAGUGAUAAAGAGAAAUCAAGAAACUCAGUUUCUUUGAAAUGGAAAUCAAUAAACUCAGUUUCCUCAAAGUUCAAAAUACAUGAGACUGCCUACCCUCCUUGGAAGGCAAGGUGGGGCUUUCUGAAGCAAAUACCAGCUUUAAAAAAAAAUGUAUAUAUAUAUGAAGAUAUAUACAAAAAAAAAAUUUCCCCACAACCAGACAAUCAGAAUCAUCAAACCCAGAAGGGUUAAAGAAAAAGAAAAGGCCCAGGAAAGUAUGAUUGGUGGGGAUCAAAAGUAUCUCUCCACAGUGGUAAAUGAGAAUUCUCAAAAAGAGUAAAAUUAUAAUUCUCAUGCACAUAUAAAAUAAAUAUGUAUUACAGAUUUUACUUAAACCAUAUAGCUCAAAAUUAGCUAACAAGGAAGACAUUAUAACCUGUUCAAAGAGAAGCCAAAGAAGGGAAAUUUAUAUGCUGUAAAGAAAUAUUUAAAGGAAUAUGGCAAAACUGACUCUUAAUAGGAGAUGCCCUAUGUGGUACAUAAUUUGUUUGUGUAUCUACACACAUGAAUUAUUUUGCACUUGUAUCACUAUCUACAACUUACACUGUUGUAAAGUAACUCCCACACAAUCAGAAUCAUAUAACCCAAAAAGGUAUCUUCCCUAACCAAACAAGGUUUUCCAAUAAAGCACUAUUUUG
rnacentral:lncRNA from 1 species